rnacentral:rRNA from 1 species
AUUGAACGCUGGCGGCAGGCCUAACACAUGCAAGUCGAGCGGAUGAAGGGAGCUUGCUCCUGGAUUCAGCGGCGGACGGGGGAGUAAUGCCUAGGAAUCUGCCUGGUAGUGGGGGAUAACGUCCUGAAACGGGCGCUAAUACCGCAUACGUCCUGAGGGAGAAAGUGGGGGAUCUUCGGACCGCACGCGAUCAGAUGAGCCUAGGUCGGGUUAGCUAGUUGGUGGGGUAAAGGCCUACCAAGGCGACGAUCCGUAACUGGACUGAGAGGAUGAUCAGUCACACGGGAACUGAGACACGGUCAAGACUACUACGGGAGGCAGCAGUGGCGAAUAUUGGACAAUGGGCGAAAGCCUGAUACAGCCAUGCCGCGUGUGUGACGAAGGUCUUCGGAUUGUAAAGCACUUUAAGUUGGGAGGAAGGGCAGUAAGUUAAUACCUUGCUGUUUUGACGUUACCAACAGAAUAAGCACCGGCUAACUUCGUG